rnacentral:rRNA from 1 species
UAGGGAACCUUCGGCAAUGGACGGAAGUCUGACCGAGCAACGCCGCGUGAGUGAAGAAGGUUUUCGGAUCGUAAAGCUCUGUUGUAAGAGAAGAACGAGUGUGAGAGUGGAAAGUUCACACUGUGACGGUAUCUUACCAGAAAGGGACGGCUAACUACGUGCCAGCAGCCGCGGUAAUACGUAGGUCCCGAGCGUUGUCCGGAUUUAUUGGGCGUAAAGCGAGCGCAGGCGGUUAGAUAAGUCUGAAGUUAAAGGCUGUGGCUUAACCAUAGUAGGCUUUGGAAACUGUUUAACUUGAGUGCAAGAGGGGAGAGUGGAAUUCCAUGUGUAGCGGUGAAAUGCGUAGAUAUAUGGAGGAACACCGGUGGCGAAAGCGGCUCUCUGGCUUGUAACUGACGCUGAGGCUCGAAAGCGUGGGGAGCAAACAGGAUUAGAUACCCUGGUAGUCCACGCUGUAAACGAUGAGUGCUAGGUGUUAGACCCUUUCCGGGGUUUAGUGCCGUAGCUAACGCAUUAAGCACUCCGCCUGGGGAGUACGACCGCAAGGUUG